UGUGCUGAACACACCUUCUCCAGGGAGAGUC
rnacentral:piRNA from 2 species